rnacentral:rRNA from 1 species
CCUACGGGAGGCAGCAGUGAGGAAUAUUGGUCAAUGGGCGUAAGCCUGAACCAGCCAAGUCGCGUGAGGGAUGAAGGUCAUAUGGAUUGUAAACCUCUUUUAUAAGGGAAUAAAGUGUGGCACGUGUCCUAUUUUGUAUGUACCUUAUGAAUAAGGAUCGGCUAACUCCGUGCCAGCAGCCGCGGUAAUACGGAGGAUCCGAGCGUUAUCCGGAUUUAUUGGGUUUAAAGGGUGCGUAGGCGGCUUUUUAAGUCAGCGGUGAAAGUUUGUGGCUCAACCGUAGAAUUGCCGUUGAAACUGGGGGGCUGGAGUAUGGUUGAGGCAGGCGGAAUGCGUGGUGUAGCGGUGAAAUGCUUAGAUAUCACGCAGAACCCCGAUUGCGAAGGCAGCUUACCAAGCCGUGACUGACGCUGAUGCACGAAAGCGUGGGGAUCAAACAGGAUUAGAUACCCGAGUAGUC